CCUACGGGGGGCAGCAGUGAGGAAUAUUGGUCAAUGGACGAGAGUCUGAACCAGCCAAGUAGCGUGAAGGAUGACUGCCCUAUGGGUUGUAAACUUCUUUUAUAUGGGAAUAAAAUGUUCCACGUGUGGGAUUUUGUAUGUACCAUAUGAAUAAGGAUCGGCUAACUCCGUGCCAGCAGCCGCGGUAAUACGGAGGAUCCGAGCGUUAUCCGGAUUUAUUGGGUUUAAAGGGAUCGUAGGUGGAUUGUUAAGUCAGUUGUGAAAGUUUGCGGCUCAACCGUAAAAUUGCAGUUGAAACUGGCAGUCUUGAGUACAGUAGAGGUGGGCGGAAUUCGUGGUGUAGCGGUGAAAUGCUUAGAUAUCACGAAGAACUCCGAUUGCGAAGGCAGUUCACUGGACUGCAACUGACACUGAGGCUCGAAAGUGUGGGUAUCAAACAGGAUUAGAUACCCGGGUAGUC
rnacentral:rRNA from 1 species